CUUUGCGGGUAACUUGAUACAAGUGAAUGGGACAGUGCCGACUGUCUAACUACCGGGCUUCCUCCUACCGCCCCACUGUUGUCAGGUGCUGUGUUCGGCUGUGACAUAAUGUCACCAACAAUGAGGCACCUGUCUCCAAUCAGCCUCAUCACUACCGGUAUAUAAGCCUGCCUGUUCAAGGAAAUCCUCACCAAAGUAUUGCAGUUACUUCCAGCGUGUUUUCCCACCUGCCAACCCACCUAGGACCACUGCCAUUUCCUUUCCUCAAUAAACUGUUCAUCAUUUUACAUCUGCCUCCGCCUGCUCUUGGAUCCAGCUUCUCCCCAUACGUGACAGACAAUAUAUGUAUGAUAUACAGUAUACAGUCAUAAAAAAAAACAAAAUAAAAAUUUAAAAAUAGCCCACCCUUGUUUAUUCAAUUUCAUGUUCAUUAUAAACCCUGGUACCACUAAAGGCCGUUUACCUGAAGAGUACAAACAUUUAAUUUUUAUAUUAAAUACAAUUUUGGUUAAUAUGA